UGUGUGUGUUAGUUGAGUUCCUUCCCUUUCCACCUCCGGUCCUGAGACUCCCGGAAGAUUUGCUUAAAAGACACUUAUUACAUAGAAAAAAGGAAAAAGAAGCGACUAGAAUUGAAUCUCAGAUAACCCGUUUGUUAAAGAAUAAAAAGGAGGAGGCAAGAAAGGACGUUCGUUGUUGAAGUCUCUCUUUCUUGAGUUUGCAGUGAUCCAUUCCUUGUUUGAAUAGAAUUCUAAAGUAGUAGUUUAUUACGAAUCCAUCAUCAUGUCUUGGGAAUCCUACGUGCAGGAGCAACUCGUUGCCACCAAAAUGGUGACCCAGGCUGUUAUCUGUGGCCAUGAUGGAAACAUUUGGGCACAGAGCUUGGGGUUCGCAGUUACAGCUGCUGAGCUCAAGACGCUGGCUUCCAUGUACGGCAGUGCGGAGAUGCUGGCUCAAAAUGGCAUUGUCAUCGCUGGCACCAAGUACAUGUACAUCUCAUCCACGGAUCGGGUCGUGCGCGCUAAAAAGGGAAAGGGCGGCAUUCACUGCAUGAAGACUACGCAAGCCAUCAUCCUCAGCGUCUACGAAACGCCAGUCAUACCCGAACAAGCCGCCUCAGUCACGGAAAAACUCGGAGAUUACCUCAUUUCCGUAGGAUACUAAAAUACAAACCAUCGCGUCAUUCAUGUCCGCCUCCCGUCGCCCCCAUUCUUCCCACCCAACUCUCAAUACCCCCACAUAACUCAAGUUAUUCAAUUGUCGACAGACCCCUAAUCAUCAAGUCCGAGAUAAGAACUAAAAACGAAUGAAUAUUUAUCUGCAGCAUCCGAGGAUGGAUCAAAUUAUUGUUAAUGCCUCAGAUGAUUUCUAUUUUAAAUAUUCUUUACGGUAUACGACAUUGUUUUUAAAUAAUACUACAAAAAAAGUAUGAAGAUUAAAGAGCAUAUUUAAUAUA
rnacentral:misc_RNA from 1 species